rnacentral:rRNA from 1 species
AGCAGCCGCGGUAAUUCCAGCUCCAAUAGCGUAUAUUAAAGUUGUUGCAGUUAAAAAGCUCGUAGUUGAAUUUCGAGAUCAAAUUGUUGGUCGUGCCUCGGUACGUACUGGCAUUAUUGAUCUCUCCUUUCUGAAGAACCAUGAUGUCAUUAAUUUGGUGUCUUGGGGAAUCAGGACUGUUACUUUGAAAAAAUUAGAGUGUUUAAAGCAGGCUCACGCUUGAAUACAUUAGCAUGGAAUAAUGAAAUAGGACGUUUGAUUCUAUUUUGUUGGUUUCUAGGAUCGACGUAAUGAUUAAUAGGGAUAGUUGGGGGCAUUAGUAUUCAAUUGUCAGAGGUGAAAUUCUUGGAUUUAUUGAAGACUAGCUACUGCGAAAGCAUUUGCCAAGGAUGUUUUCAUUAAUCAAGAACGAAAGUUAGGGGAUCGAAGACGAUCAGAUACCGUCGUAGU